UUAGACUGAAUAUGCAAGCUGAAAAAUGUUUCAGGACAGAUGUAAUAAGCACCAUUCUUAUGGUGCUCAGUUGGCAAAGUCGAGUAAUUGCACGGAGCCUGAAAUUGGUAUUCAAUGGGAUUAGACAGUUGGGACUUUGUCCACUUGAGACGAAAACGAAGAUAAAGAGGAGUUGUGGCUCUAACUCAACACCAUCAAUCAAUCCUGCUUCAUUACUAAACCAAAGUUGUUCUUCACCAAGCCACAGUAAACUCUCCCUCCCUCUCUCUCGCUUCAAUGUUUCUUCCUCGAAUUAUCAUUUUCUUUGUUCCUUUACUGAUGCUCUUUCUUUUCAGGUUUGUCUUGUACGAAUGAUGAAGUACAUGAUGAAGGUUUGGCUACGUGGACCUUUUUUCCACUGAGGUAAACAAGUUGGCUCCUACUAAUGAAUUAUCU
rnacentral:lncRNA from 1 species